GUGAAGAUGAUGAUCAGAAUCCAAGAUAACAAGAACUGGAAGAAAUAAAGUCUUAUUUGCGUACAUCCCUGCGUCAAGCACUUGGCCAGAUGUUUUAGGAAUAUUAUUCCUAGACAUCACAGGAAAACAUUAUGUGACAUCUGGCUGACAGGAACUUGGAGAAAUGGGAUACGAAGUGAAUGCUGCAGUUACCACAAGCAUCAUAUUUAUCAAAAGGUUUAAGUAAGUUGGUGACUCCCAAGAAAGAGGCAUUCAGGAGAAGAGAGAUAAACCUCCUACAAUGAAAUUUUGGGCAUGAG